rnacentral:rRNA from 1 species
UACGUAGGGGGCGAGCGUUGUCCGGAAUUAUUGGGCGUAAAGAGCGUGUAGGCGGUUCGGUAAGUCUGCCGUGAAAACCUGGGGCUCAACCCCGGGCGUGCGGUGGAUACUGCCGGGCUAGAGGGUGGUAGAGGCGAGUGGAAUUCCCGGUGUAGCGGUGAAAUGCGCAGAUAUCGGGAAGAACACCCGUGGCGAAGGCGGCGCUCUGGGCCGGUACUGACGCUGAGGAGCGAAAGCGUGGGGAGCAAACAGG